AGAAGCCUUUGGGCCGACUCCCGGAGGCCAUCUUGGCUGUGGGCGGGUCGCUGGGAGGUUGCUCCUUCUUGUGGAAGCUUGUUUUUGCCAGUCCGGGGCGCGACCCUGAGGCUCGAGCUAGGGAGGCGUCCGCGGCCAAGAUGACCCAGGCGGAGAAAGGGGACGCAGAGAACGGAAAGGAGAAGGGUGGGGAAAAGGAGAAGGAACAGCGCGGCGUGAAGCGACCCAUCGUGCCCGCGUUGGUGCCGGAGUCGCUACAGGAGCAAAUCCAGAGCAACUUCAUCGUUGUCAUACAUCCAGGUUCAACAACUCUGAGGAUUGGUCGAGCCACAGACACGCUUCCUGCCAGCAUUCCUCACGUCAUUGCACGAAGACAUAAACAACAAGGGCAGCCUCUAUAUAAGGACAACUGGCUCCUAAGGGAAGGACUAAAUAAACCUGAAAGUAACGAACAAAGACAAAAUGGCCUUAAAAUGGUGGAUCAAGCAAUAUGGUCUAAAAAGAUGUCAAAUGGUACAAGACGAAUUCCUGUGUCUCCUGAGCAGGCACGUUCCUACAACAAGCAGAUGCGACCUGCGAUUUUAGAUCACUGCUCUGGAAAUAAGUGGACAAACACAUCUCAUCACCCUGAAUUUUUGGUAGGAGAAGAGGCCUUAUAUGUUAAUCCAUUGGACUGUUACAAUAUUCACUGGCCCAUCAGAAGAGGCCAGUUAAAUAUUCACCAGGGACCUGGGGGCUCUCUUACAGCUGUUCUGGCUGAUAUUGAAGUAAUAUGGUCUCAUGCAAUACAAAAAUACUUGGAAAUCCCACUGAAAGAUUUAAAGUAUUAUAGGUGUAUCUUGUUAAUUCCUGAUAUCUAUAAUAAACAGCAUGUGAAAGAAUUAGUGAAUAUGAUCCUAAUGAAGAUGGGUUUUUCAGGGAUUGUGGUCCAUCAGGAGUCUGUGUGUGCCACCUUUGGAAGUGGUUUAAGCAGCACUUGUAUUGUCGAUGUUGGAGACCAGAAGACGAGCGUGUGCUGUGUGGAGGAUGGGGUCUCUCAUCGGAACACUAGACUAUGUCUGGCAUAUGGUGGAUCUGAUGUGUCAAGAUGUUUUUACUGGCUGAUGCAGCGAGCUGGGUUCCCUUACAGAGAAUGCCAGUUAACAAAUAAAAUGGACUGCCUUCUUCUGCAACACCUUAAAGAAACGUUUUGUCAUUUAGAUCAGGACAUCUCUGGGCUUCAGGACCAUGAGUUUCAGAUUCGACAUCCAGAUUCCCCUGCCCUUCUUUACCAGUUUCGAUUAGGAGAUGAAAAACUCCAGGCUCCAAUGGCUUUGUUUUACCCAGCAACUUUUGGAAUCGUUGGACAGAAAAUGACAACUUUGCAGCACAGGUCCCAGGGUGACCCUGAGGAUCCUCAUGAUGAGCACUACCUGCUGGCCACACAAAGCAAGCAAGAACAGUCUGCAAAAGCUACUGCUGACCGAAAGUCUGCAUCCAAACCCAUUGGAUUUGAAGGGGAUCUUCGUGGCCAGUCCUCUGAUCUUCCAGAAAGACUGCAUUCCCAGGAGGUGGAUUUGGGAUCCUCCCAGGGAGACUGCUUGAUGGCUGGCAAUGACUCUGAGGAGGCUCUCACUGCACUCAUGUCCAGGAAGACUGCCAUCUCACUGUUUGAAGGGAAAGCCCUGGGCCUGGAUAAAGCCAUCCUCCAUAGCAUAGACUGUUGUUCAUCUGAUGAUACCAAAAAGAAGAUGUACAGCUCCAUCCUGGUGGUGGGAGGUGGUUUGAUGUUUCAUAAAGCUCAAGAAUUUCUGCAGCACAGAAUUCUCAAUAAAAUGCCACCUUCAUUCAGGCGAAUUAUUGAAAAUGUGGAUGUGAUCACAAGGCCCAAGGACAUGGAUCCCCGGCUGAUUGCAUGGAAAGGAGGAGCAGUGUUGGCUUGUUUGGAUACAACACAGGAACUGUGGAUUUAUCAGAGAGAAUGGCAGCGCUUUGGCGUCCGCAUGCUACGAGAGCGAGCUGCUUUUGUGUGGUGACGUGGACAGAAAAGUCACUGCUGAAGAACAAAACAUGCCUCGUGGUAUACAAGACUCUUAUCAAAUGUACCAUCACACGCUGUGUUGCCAUCAUUGGAAAGAAGGAAAAUGACCUUAUCUGCUGCUGCCUUCUGAGUGGGCUCUGUCAGACUGACAGCUGUGGGGAGGUAAUGCCGCCCAUCAAAGGAAUGUUGGAUCAGGUAAGCCCCUGCAUGCAAAAGUGCUCAGGGAUCUGUAGACACGGUGCCCUCACAGUGGCCAGGGCCCAGGACUGUUAGGAGGUUACAUUUCCAAGAAUAACACCUUCCACCUUUUGACCCCAGCCCUGGGCUAGUUCCGGUAGCGUUUGUCCAGAUGCAGUGAAAGAACUUGCAUCUCUAAAUCCAGAGAGACAUGCUGCAGAACAGGCUGCUCUCAGGCACCAGUGAGGUGUGUCUUUUGGUGCCGACACUCCUCAUUUGUUAUCCAAAUGUUGGCUGUGUGGCCACCUGGAGUUACUGUAACAGCCAGGCCUUGGCCACUCAGAGGAUAAGAAAGGACGCAGUGAAAGGUACAUUCCCUCAUACAGUCAGUCCUUUUAUGCCACUGAUGCACCCCUGAUGUUUUCCCUUCUUGUGAGUAUCCUGCUUGGUAAAGAAUGUUGAAUCUCAUUCAUCUCAUUUUCCUUUUUUUUUUCCAGGGCCACACCCACAGCAUAUGGAGGUUACCAGGCUAGGGGUCAAAUAGGAGCUACGGCUGCCGGCCUACACCACAGCCACUGCAACAUAGGAUCCGAGCCACGUCUGUGACCUGCACCACAGCUCACGACAAUGCCGGAUCCUUAACCCACUGAGCGAGGCCAGGGAUCGAACCUGCAACCUCAUGGUUCCUAGUCAGAUUCGUUUCUGCUGAGCCACGACGGGGAACUCCAUGAAGCCGAAUUCUUACUCAGAUUGCAGUUCUCGGGCACAGCACUGCCAUUUUCCCUGCACCUUUGUUCAGCGCAGGUAGGCCGGUACCCUCCCUCAUGCCCCUCCCAUACACUGCCCCCUCAGCCUGACACAUAUUGAAUGGGGGUGGGGCUGGGGGACCUUUGUAUCCUGAGCCUCUUCCAUCAUCCCAUGGAAAGGCCUGAGUACUUACUCUGAUCUUGUGGGAAGGGGACCCCUGUGUGUGGGCAACGCACAACAGUUCCUCUGCGUCGGAUGCAGUCGUUGCCACAGGUACGGAAAUACGGAGUCAGCUGAGAAAAACGAGGGGCUCAGCAAGCUCUCACCACAUCUCGGUCUCAGCAUUAUUCCUUCUUCCACCAGAACCCCUCUUCCCCUUUUUCUCUGGCUCCGACCCCUUCCUAGCAUUGUAAUAGGACAGUGUCCCCCCUCAGUCAUACUUCUGUAACAAAGCCCUAAAAUCCAGACCAAUGACUUAAGACCGAACACCUUCUAAGAUUCCUGGCUUACAAACCUAAGCUUUGUAUAUGUUGCUGAGAUAUUAUUUUCCUUCCCUAAAAGGGUUAGGUCACAUCCUGAUACAUAUACAAAUACAUCCUCUAGAAAAACAGUGGUAGGACUCCUCUCAACCUAGGUCAGCACUUUACAACAUGUAAGUCCCUGAGACUAGGAGAGUCUGGUUCCCUGGAAAAGGGGUGCAGUCAUAAUGACCGAGCGCCACCCAGGAGUAAAGAACAAAAGCUCCUUGUAUCUUGGGUGUGGCUGUAUGCCAUCCAGACCCUUCACAGCCUCAUACACUCUGACUGGAAAGAGCCCUGAAAGCAUCUGCAAGCUGGACUCCCCAUUCUCCAGUGGAGUAAACUCAGACCCUGAGGGGACAGAGUUGUCCUUCAGAGUUCACACACUGAUGGGAACCCAGACCUGAUUUCAAAUCCUUUGUUACUUCAUUUUUUGCAGUGAAUGACUUGGGGAAACAAAAUGGUAUUCCUGUUUCAGAAUUCCUCUGAGGCUCUGUGACAGAGGUGGGAAUAAAUGUGGGAAAGUCAGCAGUGACUCAAAGAAACAAAAAGGACCAUGACGAUAAGGUCAGCUUCCUGACCUCACCACUGCGAAGACAACUAAGAAGGACAGGCCUCCCUGUUGGCAUCACUUAAUGUGAGACUGCUGGUGGAGCCGGGGUGAGAACUCAUCUGCUCCAACUAGAAAGCACUUCUCAAAGCAGCUGGGGAGGUGCAGUAGGUCUUCCAGCGCCCCUUCCCUCCCCAGAGCGUGCUGUUGAACUUUACCUGGACCACAGCACCUUCGCUUUCCCCAGUCACUUGAACCACCACAGAAGUUCGAGUUAGUUCUUUCUGGGGCAAGUAAGUGAGACAAAAUCAAGAAUUAGGGGCCAUACAGGUGAGUAGGUCAAGGACUGCCCAUGAAGACAUCACUCUCCCCAAACAGUUUAUGAAUGCUUAGUGUGAAUAGGGAUUCAGUCCAUGCUUCUGGCUGAAGAUGGUUGGUUUUAGAUUCACUGGGACAUUUCUGUGGAUGCCCUCAGGGACUUGUUUUUCUUUGAAUUAACCAGACUAGCCCACAUUUGGACAGCAGUCCUGCCUGUGCUCUCUCAAAAGAGAGCCUGUCCAAGGAAUCUGCAUUCUUUAACAAGGCAAGGAAAGCUGGAGGUUGAGGAUGGGGUGGUGGUAAGGAAAUAAAGUGGGGAAACAUACCUCCGACACAUAAGAAGUCCCAAUUACAGUGGAGUUUUGGAUCAGAGCCAUGUAUCUGUUUCCAAGGGGACUGGUUGUAAAAUUCACUUCUACUGUGUUCUCGCUCUUCUUACAAGCAGUGAUGUUUGGAUCCCACAGACUUCCUAUGAGUCAAGAGAGAAUCACAAGGAUGGAGCUGCAGACUCAGCCCUCAUUUAAGUCCCCAAAAAGGGCUUGACAAAGACCUACAUCCUCAGGCACAUGUCCAAGAGACACAGAUUCUACUACACAGUGUACCUUUUAUUCAUCCUCUCAAAGUAACCUGCUACCAAAGAAAGUUUAAGAAAAAGUUAGGGAUUCCACAUCACUGCUUUGCUGAGAUUCUCUUCCCUGGCCGAGGCUGUUAGGAGACAUGAGCUGGGUUCUACUACUCCCUUCUAUUCUCAACAGCCAUUGUGAAUGAAGAGCAGGGGUCAAGAUCUCCUUUCCAGGAUGGGGAGCAGGAGCCACAGGUUAGGAGAGAUGUCCAAGUUUAUAGAGUGAGUGGGUUCAGGAUCAGGACUACAACUACUAGAACAUUGUAAGUUCCAGGAGCUCCAUCUAUCACAGCUUUACUGGAUGUCAGGAAAUAAGGAAAUGCCUCAUGGCUUAGAAAAUAUCCUGACAGGUGUACUCUGAGAAAAAGCUGGUUGUUUCAUUCAUGUGGCUUGCAAAUCAACACUGUUAAUUUCCAGGAACAUGAUACACAAUAGCAUGCAUUAUUUUCCCCACCCAGGAGACCAUUUCUGGCGCUUGCUCAGAACUGUCUUUAGGAGUUGGUGUCUACUCCAACCAAGGCCGUUAGACCCUUGCCCGCCCUGCAGUGUCCUCCAUACUUCAGGUCUCUGCUGGUGGGAGGUGAGAGGAAACACAACACUCCAACUCUGCCUUCCAGCAAGGAGCCCACGUGGCCUCAGUCUGCCAGGGUUCACAGGGAUGCCUGUGGGGUGGGGGUGCCUAAAAGAGAUCCAUCCCCCAAAAUACUACUAGCUUCAUUAGCACCCUAAGAUUGUACUACCAAGAAGUGCACACAAAUCCUUGUAAAGCCCUUGAAAAUUGGACACUUGGGACUAAUUAUCCUGAAGGGGCUUUUUUCAGAUUUCAAAGAGUAGGGUGGGUUUUCAGUCUGGCCUGCAAGAGGUGGAACCCGCUGGGGUCACAGGUUGAAAGUAUGUUCCUAGUUCAUUUCUUUAGCUAACACUCCCACCUUGACUGUUUGCAGAUCCGAGUAGAAGGUGCACAGGGUCCCCAUGGCCACAGCUUAGUGGUCCUGGUGUCCCGGGCACGCGGAGGACUCAGAGAUUCCCAUCCAGGCAGGAAGGGCUUUUGGCCAUUAUCAAAACAGUAUCUGAUCCCCAAGAGAAGACUUGGAAAUCAACCUUUCUUCAAAAAUGAGGUUUGGGGGAGUUCCCAUUGUGGCUCAGCGGUAAUGAACUUGACUAGGAUCCAUGAACACCUCAGGGGUCAAGCCUACUGGAUUCCAGACAUCAAAGUCAGAGACUAGCAACAUGCCAUCAGAUUACAUAGCCUGCCGUGAAACUGAGACUGGAACAAACAGUUUGUGUCAACGAUAAAGAGUGGCUAAAAGUGCAUCAGUCAAGAAGAACCAGAGUUUGAUGUCAGCUUCACUUCUACUGGGUACAUAACCAGGGCAAGUUACUUAAGCUCUCAAUUUCUUCAUCUGUAAGAUGGGGCUAUCCCAACCUCAGGGUUGUCGGAGGCUUAAGUGAUUCUGCGUGUCAAGUGCUCAGCAUGGUGCCUGACACACAAGAAUGGGCUUUCCCCUACAAACCUGCCUUAGUGCUCUCCCUGUAGUGCCUUGUACAUAUUACAGAUGAGGAAACAGAGACUAGCAAGGCCAAACGCUAGUCCACGGUACCCUGCAUUCUCUGUACCAAACCACAUACCAAAGCAGGGGUCCGAGUAAGACGAGAAGAUCGAGGAAGUUUACCUGGUGAGGUGAAGUUCACAGCCAAGGAGGGGCCAUCUUCGUUCAUAUUUGCAUUGGGGAUAUUAUGGGCUCCAAUGAAAUAGCGUGUAUUCAGCUCUACUGGAAAGCCUACGUAGGAAAACAUCCACUGCAAGGCAAAGCAGCAAUCCCUGAAAUUUCCAAGUCCUUUUCAUUGUCAACUUCAUUUCCUAACUUGCUGCUGCUUACAUCUCUAGCCAAUGUCUGCUAAGGAAAUGGACCCCAUACAGUUACCAGUGUAACUCACAGAUUCAAAAAAUUGUAAAAUUCUAGAGCCAGGAUAUAAUUUAAGUUCAACUCCCCUCACUUUGCUGAUGGAGAAACUAAGGCCCAGAAAUGCUGACUUGCCCAAGGCACACAGCAGAGAAAUGCCCAAACUGGGAUUUGAACCUGGUCGUCCUGCUCCCGGUUAUAGCUGCUCCCCGGCCUGUGUGUGUGUGGCUCAACAUGCACACCCCCAACAAAGGACCUGGCUUCCGUGACUGUUAUCCAAGGGUCUCUAAGUGCUUACUUUGCCGCCAGAAGGUCUGGUCUGAGUCUGGAAGGCCUCAGUGUAAUUGCACCUCACGCAGCUGUAGGUCUGCUUCUGGCUCUUGCCCGUCACACAGAUCUUGGUGGCCUUCAACAAUCGGAUACUGGCUGCCAAGGUAGGCAAGAAGGCAGUUGUGUAUUUAGUGCUUCUUAUGUGGCCAGCCAACGCUAGACAGCCUACCUGCCUCAUGGCAGUUCACAUUCACUGUAGCCAUCAAAGGUAAGCACUGUGGUUGUCCCUGGUUUACAGAUGGGGUGAACAAGCCUUACAGAAUUUCAGGUAGCUUUGCCUUAGUCUACAGAGUUCAUCAGAGGCAGAAUAUGGGUUCAAAUUCCUAAGCCUGGAUUUCACAGACACCUGCAAACGUGAGUCUAACUGCGCUAUUCUGGGUCUUUUAAGAGGAACAGACCUGCUGUGUAGAACACCACCAAGGCCUUUCAGAGGGUCACCACCAGCCAUGCCUGUUCUGGUUGCACCUUUAUCCAUGCCGAUUCUUCCCCCUUGAAUGCCCUUUCCUCAUAUUCUCUGCCUCUUCAACACCUAACUUAUGCACAUACCUAAAACAACAGCUAACAAACACAAGACCUCACUCUGUAGAAGGAGCCAGGAUGAAGCCACAUGCAUUACUGCAACAUCUAACUUAAUGUGGUCUCCCCAGAGCCCUCUCCUGCUUCUCCCGCCCUCCUUCCCGCCCACCUCAGAUGGAGUACAGGUCCUUCUGGGGUUCCCCAGACCCUAUCUGUGCUUGUGCCUGCCUACCCCUGGGCCAUGAGAACCCAACCUGGGCAGGGACUGUAGCUGACUCAUCUCUCCGUGCAUGGCACUCCCAGAUUAUUGACCAGAAGGAAUUGAGCUGAAUUUAUGGGCAGAACCCACAGACAUGGUGCUUAGGGCCUCAGGAUUGGUUCAUCCAAAGAACUCACAAGGUACCCUGGGGAAAUGCCAGGACUCCCACGAUGCCAUUUGGAGUGGAAAAGUUAUCUACCCGAGGGAAAGCUUUCCUAAACCUGGGGGGUCAUCCCUGGCCUUAACCCGUUUUCCUCAAUGAAGGAUGGCAUGACAUACAGUACAGUACUCAGUGUGCCACUCGAUCAGUUUCGACACUCAUGCAGUCAGAACCCAGGUCAAGGAACACCCCAGGAGUGUCCCCCAGGCUUCCUUUCAGUUCCUCCCACAGCUGAGAGUAGCCACAGUAGUCAUGACUUCUAACUGCUUAGGGUAGUUUUGCCUGUUUUACACUUUUUGUUAAUGGUGUCUUUUGGUGGGUAGGACUGCAGGCCUGUGUGCAGAUAUGAAUGUAUGAACUCUGAAUCUAGCUAUGUCUGAGAUUCACCCAUGUUGUGUGUAGUUAUAGAUCACGCCAUGUUGGUAUCUAUAUAGGACUAUACAGAUAUAAUUCAUGCUCAUCACUCUAAUGAAUUCUGUUUUGUGAUUCCAAAUCUAUCUUCAGGCAUUUGAUGCAUUCCAUUUUUUUGGUGCUAUGAAUACUGCUACUAUGAAUAUUCUAGUCUGUGGUUUUGUUUUAUAUCUGUAUAUAGUUUGUUGGGUAUCAGACUAAGGAAGUAAUGGGUCACAGAG